AGUGAACGCUGGCGGUAGGCCUAACACAUGCAAGUCGAACGGCAGCACAGUAAGAGCUUGCUCUUACGGGUGGCGAGUGGCGGACGGGUGAGGAAUACAUCGGAAUCUACUUUUUCGUGGGGGAUAACGUAGGGAAACUUACGCUAAUACCGCAUACGACCUACGGGUGAAAGCAGGGGAUCUUCGGACCUUGCGCGAUUGAAUGAGCCGAUGUCGGAUUAGCUAGUUGGCGGGGUAAAGGCCCACCAAGGCGACGAUCCGUAGCUGGUCUGAGAGGAUGAUCAGCCCCCCUGGAACUGAGACACGGUCCAGACUCCUACGGGAGGCAGCAGUGGGGAAUAUUGGACAAUGGGCGCAAGCCUGAUCCAGCCAUACCGCGUGGGUGAAGAAGGCCUUCGGGUUGUAAAGCCCUUUUGUUGGGAAAGAAAAGCAGCAGGUUAAUACCCCGCUGUUCUGACGGUACCCAAAGAAUAAGCACCGGCUAACUUCGUG
rnacentral:rRNA from 1 species